GUCCACGCCCUAAACGAUGGGUACCAAGUGUCGGCGGGUUACCGCCGGUGCCGCACCUAACGGAGUAAGUACCCCGCCUGGGGAGUACGGCCGCAAGGUUGAAACUCAAAGGAAUUGACGGGGGCCCGCACAAGCGGUGGUGCAUGUGGUUCAAUUCGACGCAACGCGAAAACCUUACCCAGGCUUGACAUGCUCGUGGUAAGAACCGGAAACGGUGAUGACCCUGAAAGGGGAGCGAGCACAGGUGCUGCAUGGCUGUCGU
rnacentral:rRNA from 1 species